CAAUAGCGUAUAUUAAAGUUGUUGCAGUUAAAAAGCUCGUAGUUGGAUUUCGGGACGGGCCAGUUGGUCCGCCGCAAGGUGUGUUACUGACUGGUCUGUUCUUCUUCGCAAAGACUGCGUGUGCUCUUCGUUGAGUGUGCGUAGGAUUUACGACGUUUACUUUGAAAAAAUUAGAGUGCUCCAGGCAGGCCUAUGCUCGAAUACAUUAGCAUGGAAUAAUAAAAUAGGACGUGCGGUUCUAUUUUGUUGGUUUCUAGGACCGCCGUAAUGAUUAAUAGGGACAGUCGGGGGCAUCAGUAUUCAAUUGUCAGAGGUGAAAUUCUUGGAUUUAUUGAAGACUAACUACUGCGAAAGCAUUUGCCAAGGAUGUUUUCAUUAA
rnacentral:rRNA from 1 species